UUCGAGUGGCGGACGGGUGAGUAACGCGUGGGUAACCUGCCUUACACAGGGGGAUAACACCUGGAAACAGGUGCUAAUACCGCAUAAGCGCACAGGGCCGCAUGGCCCGGUGUGAAAACUCCGGUGGUGUAAGAUGGACCCGCGUCUGAUUAGCUUGUUGGCGGGGUAGGGGCCCACCAAGGCGACGAUCAGUAGCCGGCCUGAGAGGGUGGACGGCCACAUUGGGACUGAGACACGGCCCAAACUCCUACGGGAGGCAGCAG
rnacentral:rRNA from 1 species